AGAAUAUAGAACACUGGAAAGUGAUGGCAAGAUCAAGGGCUUUGAAGAUAAUAUUGUGAGUGUUGCUCCACCCUGUCUCUCUGUUCCCAGGAAGGUGGUUCUGGAGGUUGGAUGAGAGCCAGAAAAAAGAAAAUUUCAUAGCCAAGUACAACAAAUUCCAUCUUCGAAAAAUAUAUCUCAGUCUUUACUUUGGAUCCAUCACCUCUCUGCUGGGUGUGAUGUAGAAGAGAGUCUUGGUCAGAUACAGGUUUUCAUUUGGUUGGGGCAAGAUUAUGAAGAUGGUGCAGUGAUCUCUCAAAAAAUCUCAUGAUUUGAAGUUUGUCGUGAAACAGAUUCACAGAGAAAAUACUAGUAAAGAGCAAACACUUCAUAUAUUGGGAGAAGUGAGAUAACCUUGCUCUUUUCAAGUUUUUCUUUAAG
rnacentral:lncRNA from 1 species